AUUGAACGCUGGCGGCAGGCCUAACACAUGCAAGUCGAGCGGAGCGGCGGACGGGUGAGUAAUGCCUAGGAAUCUGCCUGGUAGUGGGGGACAACGAACGGAAACGAGCGCAAAUACCGCAUACAAUCAAGUGAGCCUAGGUCGGAUUAGCUGGUUGGUGGGGUAAAGGCUUACCAAGGACACGACCCGUAAGUGGUCUGAGAGGAUGAUCAGUCACCCUUGAACUGGUACACGGUCCAGACUCCAACGGGAGUCAGCAGUGGGGAAGAUUGGGCAAUGGGCGAAAGCCUGACCCAGCCAUGCCGCGUGUGUGAAGAAGGUCUUCGGAUUGUAAAGCUCUUUUAGUUGUGAGGCGUUACCUACAUAAUAAGCCACGGCUAACUUCGUGCCAGCAGCCGCGGUAAUAC
rnacentral:rRNA from 1 species